CCUACGGGAGGCUGCAGUGGGGAAUAUUGGACAAUGGGGGCAACCCUGAUCCAGCCAUGCCGCGUGUGUGAAGAAGGCCCUCGGGUUGUAAAGCACUUUCAGUGAGGAAGAACGCCUGGUGGUUAAUACCCAUCAGGAAAGACAUCACUCACAGAAGAAGCACCGGCUAACUCCGUGCCAGCAGCCGCGGUAAUACGGAGGGUGCGAGCGUUAAUCGGAAUUACUGGGCGUAAAGCGCGCGUAGGUGGCUUGAUAAGCCGGUUGUGAAAGCCCCGGGCUCAACCUGGGAACGGCAUCCGGAACUGUCAAGCUAGAGUGCAGGAGAGGAAGGUAGAAUUCCCGGUGUAGCGGUGAAAUGCGUAGAGAUCGGGAGGAAUACCAGUGGCGAAGGCGGCCUUCUGGACUGACACUGACACUGAGGUGUGAAAGCGUGGGUAGCAAACAGGAUUAGAUACCCGGGUAGUC
rnacentral:rRNA from 1 species